rnacentral:rRNA from 1 species
GAUGAACGCUAGCUACAGGCUUAACACAUGCAAGUCGAGGGGCAGCAUGAGCAGAGCUUGCUUUGUUUGAUGGCGACCGGCGCACGGGUGCGUAACACGUAUCCAAUCUGCCCGCGGCUCGGGGAUAGCCCAUCGAAAGAUGGAUUAAUACCCGAUGGCGUGGUCACUCCGCAUGGGGUUUCCACUAAAGGUUUUCCGGCCGCGGAUGAGGAUGCGUAUGAUUAGGUAGUAGGCGGGGUAACGGCCCACCUAGCCUUCGAUCAUUAGGGGUUCUGAGAGGAAGGUCCCCCACACUGGAACUGAGACACGGUCCAG